rnacentral:rRNA from 1 species
UACAAGCAGUGGGAGCAUGAUGUAAGUCAUGUGACUGCGUACCUUUUGUAUAAUGGGUCAGCGAGUUGUCCGUAUUAGCGAGGUUAACCUAGAUGGGGGAGCCGCAGGGAAACCGAGUCAUAACCGGCGAGGAGUUGAUACGGGCAGACCCGAAACCGAGUGAUCUAGUCCGGGACAGGCUGAAAGCAGGGUAACACCUGCCGGAGGGCCGAACCCACUGACGUUGCAAAGUCAGGGGAUGAUUUCGGACUAGGGGUGAAAGGCCAAUCAAACCCGGUGAUAGCUGGUUCUCCCCGAAAGCUAUUUAGGUAGCGUCCCGUGGUGACGGACGGGGGUAGAGCACUGUAACGCCGAGGGUUGCGUCAAGUGAUACCGAGGCGUAGCAAACUGCGAAUACCGUCCAGUUGAAAGCGGGGGACACACGGUGGGUGCUAACGUUCAUCGUGGAGAGGGAAACAACCCGGACCGCCGGCUAAGGUCCCGAAGUUCAGAUUAAGUGGGAAACGAUGUGGGAAGGCAUAGACAGCCAGGAUGUUGGCUUAGAAGCAGCCAUCAUUUAAAGAAAGCGUAAUAGCUCACUGGUCGAGUCGGCCUGCGCGGAAGAUGUAACGGGGCUAAAAUCUGACACCGAAGCCGCGGAUUUGCAUUUAGGUGCAAGUGGUAGGGGAGCGUUCUGCAAGCCGGAGAAGGCAAGCUGAGAGGCUUGCUGGAGGGAGCAGAAGUGCGAAUGCUGACGCAAGUAACGAUAAAACGGGUGAAAAGCCCGUUCGCCGGAAGACCAAGGGUUCCUGUCCAACGUUAAUCGGGGCAGGGUGAGUCGGUGCCUAAGGCGAGGCUGAAAAGCGCAGUCGAAGGGAAACGGGUUAAUAUUCCCGUACCGGAUAAUAUUGCGAUGAGGUGACGGAGAAGGUAAGGCAGGCCGGAGAGCGGAAGUUCCGGUGAAAGGCGGUAGGGAAUCGCGGGGGUUAAAAGACCUGCGGUGAUGAACUGAGAGCCGAGAGGAGCAAACUACGGUUUGUGAAGCUGCUAGGUCCAGGCUUCCAGGAAAAGCCUCUAAGCUUAGAUAUUAUGCGGCCGUACCCCAAACCGACACAGGUGGUCGGGUAGAGGAUACCAAGGCGCUUGGGAGAACCCGGGUGAAGGAACUAGGCAAAAAUGUACCGUAACUUCGGGAGAAGGUACGCUGUCGGGUGUGAAAUCCGCACGGAGGGAGCACUUGACAGCCGCAGCUAAAUGGCGGCUGGGACUGUUUAACAAAAACACAGCACUCUGCGAACCUGAAAGGGGAAGUAUAGGGUGUGACACCUGCCCGGUGCCGGAAGGUUAAAUGAUGGGGUCAGGCGCAAGCUGAAGCCCUUGAGUGAAGCCCCGGUAAACGGCGGCCGUAACUAUAACGGUCCUAAGGUAGCGAAAUUCCUUGUCGGGCAAGUUCCGACCUGCACGAAUGGUGUAACCAUGGCCGCGCUGUCUCCACCCGGGACCCAGUGAAACCGAAAUCGCUGUGAAGAUGCAGUGUACCCGCGGCUAGACGGAAAGACCCCGUGAACCUUUACUGCAGCUUGACACUGAACCUUGAACCUGUUUGCGCAGGAUAGGCGGGAGACACGGAAGUCGGAGCUCAGGCUCUGAUGGAGUCGCCCUUGAAAUACCGCCCUGACAGUUUUGAGGUUCUAACCUAAGGCUUAAAUGACAUGGGACAGUGUCUGGCGGGAAGUUUGACUGGGGCGGUCUCCUCCCAAAGGGUAACGGAGGAGCACGAAGGUCGGCUGGUUACGGUCGGAAACCGUGAUGACAGUGCAAUGGCGAAAGCCGGCUUAACUGCGAGACCGACAAGUCGAGCAGAUACGAAAGUAGGUCA